GACGAACGCUGGCGGCGUGCCUAAUACAUGCAAGUAGAACGCUGAAGGAGGAGCUUGCUUCUCUGGAUGAGUUGCGAACGGGUGAGUAACGCGUAGGUAACCUGCCUGGUAGCGGGGGAUAACUAUUGGAAACGAUAGCUAAUACCGCAUAAGAGUAGAUGUUGCAUGACAUUUGCUUAAAAGGUGCAAUUGCAUCACUACCAGAUGGACCUGCGUUGUAUUAGCUAGUUGGUGGGGUAACGGCUCACCAAGGCGACGAUACAUAGCCGACCUGAGAGGGUGAUCGGCCACACUGGGACUGAGACACGGCCCAGACUCCUACGGGAGGCAGCAGUAGGGAAUCUUCGGCAAUGGACGGAAGUCUGACCGAGCAACGCCGCGUGAGUGAAGAAGGUUUUCGGAUCGUAAAGCUCUGUUGUAAGAGAAGAACGAGUGUGAGAGUGGAAAAGUUCACACUGUGACGGU
rnacentral:rRNA from 1 species